rnacentral:tRNA from 1 species
ACCGGCAUGGCUCAGUGGUUAAGGGUCGACCUAUGAACCAGGAAGUCAUGGUUCGAUUCCAUUGCCGGUC